AUAAUGUCUAAAUUAUGUUGUAGUCUACAUGUCACUAUUAUUGUAUCACCUAGAAGGGCAGUUAGUACGUGAUCUAAUGUGUGCAAGUUCUCACUGUAUAGGUAUAUGUAAUUAUCAAUGCUAUAUAUGUAUCAAUAUUAUUCAUUAAUCACCUAUUACUGGAAGAAAUAUAUCAUAUAUUCACAUUUGAUACCCUCACAAAGAACACAGUUUAUAUUUUAAAUAUUAUUUCAUAUACC
rnacentral:lncRNA from 1 species